AUUGAACGCUGGCGGCAGGCCUAACACAUGCAAGUCGAACGCGCGGCGGAGGGGUGAGUAAUAUAUGGGGGACUGCCCGAUAGAGAGGGGUAACUACUGGAAAAGCGAUCUAAUACACCGUACUCUCUCAGGAACCCAUAUGGGAUUAGCUAGUGGGUGGGGGAAUGGCUCACCUAGACGACGAUCCCUAUCUGGUCUGAGAGGAUGAUCAGCCACACUGGGACUGAGACACGGUCCAGACUCCUACGGGAGGCAGCAGUGGGGAAUAUUGCACAAUGGGCGCAAGCCUGAUACAGCCAUGCCGCGUGUAUGAAGAAGGCCUUAGGGUUGUAAAGUACUUUCAGUCGAGAGGCGUUACCCGCAGAAGAAGCACCGGCUAACUCCGUGCCAGCAGCCGCGGUAAUAC
rnacentral:rRNA from 1 species